CCGCCGGAGGGGGCGGGCGGGUCACUCACCCUCAUCCUGCUCAGCGGGCUCGGCUCGUCCGGCCGCGGGGAUAGAGAGGACCAGAGGACCACCAGCACCAGGAAGCUGCCCACCACCAGCAAACUGCUGUUUGGAGCAUGUAUCGUGUGCUAGCCAUUGUUUUAAAUGAUGGGAAACAGCAGUAAACUAGAGGAGCAGAAAUCCUUGUGGUCAUGGAGUCAGACAAUAAACAAGAAAACAAAAAUCUUCAGCACAAAUCCCAUCUACAGAGACUGGAGAGUCUCGGAGGACAGGAGCUGACUGAUGAACAUUCACGCUCAUUGUGGGGCACAGACUUUGAGAACAAGCCUUUUCCUGAGUACCGAGGACCAUAGACACGUUGGCUGAGCUGUUUGUUACUCUUACCAGUUGGAUGUGGCUGAGUUUCCAUUACAUAUAUCGUCCCACCAUGUGAUUCAUCCAGCGGGUGUAUUUUAAUUAUUGAACCAAGACGUGAGUAACUGGAAAGGAGGAAACCUAAGAAGAAACACCAGUUCUUCUGCGUCGACCUACAGGUCAGGAACUAGGAAGUACUUUUGUUUUUUCUUUUGACGUCUAAAAAGAAAUAUUCUUACAUCUCCAAGAGAAAGAGCAAGAAAACAGAGGGAUGAAACACUCCUGAUCAAGGACCUGUAGUCGAUGUCCCAUUUACCCCGUGUGUCACCUGCUUGAGCCCUAACCCCUACUAUCCACCACUCCAGUUACCCUGAUCUUUCCUGUUCUUAGGGUAUGAUUUAAACAGCCUGUUCUCCUCUUUUUGGAAGUUGGAUACAAAUGAUAAAUAAUAAAUGGUGAA